UUUGCAUGUAAAAAAGAAUACUGACCACAGUGGCUAAGCCAAAGAGUGGCUCAUUUUUCUGAUGUAACCGUCUGGAGGUGGUCAGUCCGGGGCUUAUGUAGCUGCUCAUGGAUGUUGCCAAGGACCCAGGACCCUUCCAGCUUCCUACUCUACCAUCAUCAGACCCGGUGCUCGUCUUCUUCAUUGAAUGGCUGUUCCACCUCCAUGACCACAUCUGUGUUCUAUGCUGGAAAUAGAAGAAAAUAGUGAAGGGCUAUAAGGAUGAACUAGGCUGACCUUUUGCAAAGCCACAAUAAUCCACACUCCCGGGGGAGCACGGGACGGUCUACCACACGCUCAGAGUAGCCAAUUCUUGCUCCGCGCCCUGUGGGAUCCUCCCAGACUGGGGCCUGAACCCGCGUCCCCUGCAUCGGCAGGCGGACUCUCAACCACUGCGCCACCACGGAAGCCCCUGCUGAGCACUUUUAAAAAAUGGUACAGAACAGAAAACAAUCGAACAGACCAGAGUGCGUUGUGUGCUGUGAGGGUCUCUGCAAGCAAGAUACCCUGAUGAUGAAGAAAGAAGCCCAGGGAGCCUGGAACUGUGCACAUAAACAUAACAUUUCCAAGGCAAAUGGUUUUAAGAGACCCAUUUAAAAGACACUAUUCUAAAUAAAUUUAAAACAAGAACAGCAACAUUAAGUGGUUCCCGGGAAUACCCUGGCAGUCCAGUUAAGACUCCACGCCCAGACGCCUCCUCGCCAAAAAAACCCCACCCAACCAACCAACCAAACAAACUGCCCCCCGCCCCAAAAUACAUUAAAUGGUUCCCAUUUUAAACUGUUGGUCCUGAAGAACAAAGUAAUUUUCCUUGUGAUAUAAACUCUCAACACAGCAAAACCAAAGGAUGAUCUGGAGAAACUAGUUUUAGCCCUAAGAGGAAAAGAUUGGAAACGAACCAAGCCAUAUCCCUCCAAAGUGUCUUUAUUCCAUCUAAUUUUAAGGAACAAGCCGGGAUGCUCUUCUCUGUUUGCCUUAUAAGGAAGGUCAGCCUUGCCAAGUCGCAAGUGCCUCUGUUAUCUUCUCCGCGAUUUCUGCGAAUGGUCCCGUGAACCAGAACUUUCCACAUGAAAGAUGGCCGGGAAUUCGAUCUUGCUGGAUGCUCCCUCCGU